rnacentral:lncRNA from 1 species
UGGCUGCAGCCAGCCUCACCUGGCUCCUCUACCCUCCCCCACAAGCUAGACUGCCCCUCCCUCGCAUCCCCACUGGCCACGCUCUGCGAGGGCUGUCCAGGCCUCUCGGUCCUUAAAACCUCCGUUCCAGCGGGGGGUUGGUCUGUGCACCUGCCCAGGCGCAAAACAGCUGCCCGGUACCCCUACCCUUCCUCUUCAUCUCUACCUUUUUCGAGUCCCCUGAAUCCUCCCUCCGCCCCGCCUCCAAUGAUUAAUAUCCCUUCAAUCUCCUUCCACAGGACCGAGCCCAGACUAAGGCAGUUUGACAGUUAUGGGUAGGGGGAAAGGGCAAAACACGAGGCGCUUCUCUCUCCCUCUCAACCAGCGCCCCUCCCCGAGGGGAGUGGGCCAGCUAUCCCCGCCCAAAAGUGACCCCGCCCCCGGUCGGUGACGUACCGUGUUGACCCCGCCCCCUGACGCUCCUCGCGCCAGUCUUCUCCUCCUUCUCCCUCCUGACAGCGUCACCUCCUCGCCCGCCCCGUUGACUCCGCCCCAUUCCCCGAAAUUACAACCGACUGAACUGCCCCGGCGGCCGUUGGAGUUUGCGUUCGGUUUCCUCCGCCCGCGUGGCUCGGUUGCGGGUCCCGGCGCUCGCGUUCAGGCUCUGCUGGGCGCUUCCGAGCGGGCUCGCUGAGGGCCAGGGCGCGGGCGCCAGCGCGCGCACCACCUUGCCCUCUUCCCGUUUCCUCCCCUAUUCCCCCACCCCCCCGCACCGCUCGCCUACCCGCUGCGCCGGCUCCCCAGUCGGAGCCAAGAGGCCAUUCCGCGACGUGCAUCGCCGAAGUUUGCCCAAAGUUUCUCCUGGAACAGCUCUUGUUCCUCUGAAGUUUGCGGACCCACAAAGAAAGCGAUUCGAGCCCUAUUAGGAGAGCCAAAAUAUAUCCAGUAUCCUAAAGUUUCCUCUUUCUUGACUGACCAGAGUCCCCAAAUGUUACAUCCCAUCUGGCUUAGUCAGUUUCUUUACAUGCAGGAUUCAGCUCUCCAAUAUGCUAAUUAUUCAUUCCAAAGGACUUGA